AACGAACGCUGGCGGCAUGCCUAACACAUGCAAGUCGAACGAGACCUUCGGGUCUAGUGGCGCACGGGUGCGUAACGCGUGGGAAUCUACCCUUGGGUUCGGAAUAACUCAGAGAAAUUUGAGCUAAUACCGGAUGAUGUCGAAAGACCAAAGAUUUAUCGCCCAAGGAUGAGCCCGCGUAGGAUUAGCUAGUUGGUGAGGUAAAGGCUCACCAAGGCAACGAUCCUUAGCUGGUCUGAGAGGAUGAUCAGCCACACUGGGACUGAGACACGGGCCAGACUCCUACGGGAGGCAGCAGUAGGGAAUAUUGGGCAAUGGAGGCAACUCUGGACCCCAGCCAUGCCGCGUGCAGGAGACGGUCCUCUGGAUUGUAAACUGCUUUGAAUGGGAAGAAUGACAGUAUCGGGAGAAUAAGC
rnacentral:rRNA from 1 species